CAAUAGCGUAUAUUAAAGUUGUUGCGGUAAAAAAGCUCGUAGUUGGAUUUCUGUUGAGAGCGACCGGUCCAUACCAUGUAUGCGUAUCUGGCUUGCUCUCGGCAUCCUCUCGAUAGACGUUACUGCGCUUGAUUGCGUGGUGCGGAUCUCGGGACUUUUACUUUGAGGAAAUUAGAGUGUUCACGGCAGGCUUUCGCCAGAAUACAUUAGCAUGGAAUAGUACUAUAGGAUCUUGGUUCUAUUUUGUUGGUUUCUAGAAUUGAGAUAAUGAUUAAUAGGGACAAUUGGGGGCAUUCGUAUCAACACGUCAGAGGUGGAAUUCUUGGAUUGUGUUGCGACGAACUACUGCGAAAGCAUUUGCCAAGGAUGUUUUCAUUGA
rnacentral:rRNA from 1 species